AUCACUUGUUUAUGUUUUUGUUUUACUCGUGGGCAAAGACUAAUAGACAGGUGCAAAAAUAAAUCCUCUUUUGCAACCCAGAACUCACUGACGAUGAGACAGUUUAAU
rnacentral:snoRNA from 1 species